GACGAACGCUGGCGGCGUGCUUAACACAUGCAAGUCGAACGGAAAGGCCCUGCUUUUGUGGGGUGCUCGAGUGGCGAACGGGUGAGUAACACGUGAGUAACCUGCCCUUGACUUUGGGAUAACUUCAGGAAACUGGGGCUAAUACCGGAUAGGAGCUCCUGCUGCAUGGUGGGGGUUGGAAAGUUUCGGCGGUUGGGGAUGGACUCGCGGCUUAUCAGCUUGUUGGUGGGGUAGUGGCUUACCAAGGCUUUGACGGGUAGCCGGCCCGAGAGGGUGACCGGCCACAUUGGGACUGAGAUACGGCUCAGACUGCUACGGGAGGCAGCAGUGGGGAAUAUUGCACAAUGGUCGGAAGCCUGAUGCAGCAACGCCGCGUGCGGGAUGACGGCCUUCGGGUUGUAAACCGCUUUCGCCUGUGACGAAGCGUGAGUGACGGUAAUGGGUAAAGAAGCACCGGCUAACUACGUG
rnacentral:rRNA from 1 species